GCUGUGGUUCAGUGGAAGAGCCUCUGCCUUGCCUACAGAAGGUCACAGGAUCAAUCCUUGGCAUCUCCA
rnacentral:tRNA from 1 species